UACGGAGGGGGCUAGCGUUGUUCGGAAUUACUGGGCGUAAAGGGCGCGUAGGCGGUUUACCAAGUCAGGCGUGAAAGGCCUGGGCUCAACCCGGGGAACUGCGCUUGAUACUUGUAGACUUGAGUCCGGUAGAGGAGUGCGGAAUUCCUGGUGUAGCGGUGAAAUGCGCAGAUAUCAGGAGGAACACCAACGGCGAAGGCAGCACUCUGGGCCGGUACUGACGCUGAGACGCGAAAGCGUGGGGAGCGAACAGG
rnacentral:rRNA from 1 species